GACGAACGCUGGCGGCGUGCUUAACACAUGCAAGUCGAACGGAAAGGCCCUGCUUUUGUGGGGUGCUCGAGUGGCGAACGGGUGAGUAACACGUGAGUAACCUGCCCUUGACUUUGGGAUAACUUCAGGAAACUGGGGCUAAUACCGGAUAGGAGCUCCUGCUGCAUGGUGGGGGUUGGAAAAUUUCGGCGGUUGGGGAUGGACUCGCGGCUUAUCAGCUUGUUGGUGGGGUAGUGGCUUACCAAGGCUUUGACGGGUAGCCGGCCUGAGAGGGUGACCGGCCACAUUGGGACUGAGAUACGGCCCAGACUCCUACGGGAGGCAGCAGUGGGGAAUAUUGCACAAUGGGCGGAAGCCUGAUGCAGCAACGCCGCGUGCGGGAUGACGGCCUUCGGGUUGUAAACCGCUUUCGCCUGUGACGAAGCGUGAGGGACGGUAAUGGGUAAAGAAGCACCGGCUAACUACGU
rnacentral:rRNA from 1 species